rnacentral:rRNA from 1 species
GAUGAACGCUGGCGGCGUGCUUAACACAUGCAAGUCGAGCGGUAAGGCCCUUUCGGGGGUACACGAGCGGCGAACGGGUGAGUAACACGUGGGUGACCUGCCCUUAGCUCUGGGAUAAGCCUGGGAAACUGGGUCUAAUACCGGAUAUGACUCCAUGACGCAUGUUGUGGGGUGGAAAGCCUUGUGCGGCUAGGGAUGGGCCCGCGGCCUAUCAGCUUGUUGGUGGGGUGAUGGCCACCAAGGCGACGACGGGUAGCCGGCCUGAGAGGGCGACCGGCCACACUGGGACUGAGACACGGCCCAGACUCCUACGGGAGGCAGCAGUGGGGAAUCUUGCGCAAUGGGCGAAAGCCUGACGCAGCGACGCCGCGUGAGGGAUGACGGCCU